rnacentral:lncRNA from 1 species
AGACUAACCACUAUAAAAUUGCUAUUCCUUAGAGAAACGGAGACAACAAAGGUUCUAAACCUCUUUGAACUUCAUCAUAUGUUAUUACAUGAUUCAACUAUGCAUUAAAACAGUAUUGUCAAAUUUUUUGAAUUUUUCUCAAAAUCUACGUGUUUUUGGUAAAUGCUCUAUAUAUGAAGCCUAUAAUCUUUUAAUUCGUUUUAAAAUUUAUAACCACAUUAUACAUUUUUUUUAAUUUAUGAUAAGCUCCUUUUCAUGGUACCUGGACAUCAUUCUAAUUUUCAAUCAAUUAAUUUAGCAAAACUGUAAAUACUCCCUAAAUCAUUGGACUAAUCACUAUAAAAUUGCUAUUCCUUAGAGAAACAGAGACAACAAAGGUUCCAAACCUCUUUGAACUUCAUCAUAUUUUAUUGCAUGAUUCAAAUAUGUAUUAAAAUUGUAUUCUCAAAUGUUUUGAAUUUUUCUCAAAAUCUAUGUCUACCCACCCCCUACGAAAAUAGUGAGUUUUCGGUAAAUGCUCUAUAUAUGAAGCCUAUAAUCUUUAAAUUUAUUUUAAAAUUUAAAACCACAUAAUACCUUUAUAUUAAUGUAUGAUAAACUUCUUUUCAUGGUACAUGGAUAUCGUUCUAAUUUUUUAUCUAUUAAUUUAGCAAAACUGCAAAUACUCCAUAAAUAAUUGGACUAACCACUAUAAAAUUGCUAUUCCCUAGAGAAACGGAGACAACAAAGGUUCCAAACCUAUUUGAACUUCAUCAUAUAUUAUUACAUGAUUCAAAUAUGUAUUAAAACUGUAUUUCAAAUUUUUUGAAUUUUUCUCAAAAUCUAUGUGUACCCCCCUUCGAAAAUAGUGAGUUUUCGGUAAAAGCUCUAUAUAUGAAGCCUAUAAUCUUUAAAUUUGUUUUAAAAUUUAAAACCACAUUAUACCUUUGUAUUAAUGUAUGAUAAACUUCUUUUCAUGGUACAUGGACAUCGUUCUAUUUUUUUAUCCAUUAAUUUAGCAAAACUGCAAAUACUCUCUAAAUCAUUGGAUUAACCACUAUAAAAUUGCUAUUCCCUAGAGAAACGGAGAUAACAAAGGUUCCAAACCUCUUUGAACUUCAUCAUAUGUUUUUACAUGAUUCAAUUAUGCAUUAAAACAGUAUUAUCAAAAUUUUUGAAUUUUUCUCAAAAUCUAUGUGUACUCCCCUACGAAAAUAGUGUGUUUUCGGUAAAUGCUCUAUAUAUGAAGCCGAUAAUCUUUUAAUUCGUUUUAAAAUUUAUAACCAUAUUAUACAUUUGUAUUAAUUUAUGAUAAACUCCUUUUCAUGGUACAUGGACAUCGUUCUAAUUUUUAAUCAAUUAAUUUAGUAAAACUGAAAUACUCCCUAAAUCAUUGGACUAACCACUAUAUAAAAUUGCUAUUCCUUAGAGAACAGAGACAAAAAAGGUUCCAAACCUCUUUGAACUUCAUCAUAUUUUAUUACAUGAUUCAAAUAUGUAUUAAAAUAGUAUUCUAAAUUUUUGAGUUUUUUCUCAAAAUCUAUGUGUUAACCCCUACGAAAAUAGUGAGUUUUCGGUAAAUGCUCUAUAUAUGAAGCCUAUAUUCUUUAAAUUUGUUUUAAAAUUUAAAACCACAUUAUACCUUUGUAUUAAUAUAUGAUAAACUUCUUUUCAUGGUAGAUGGACAUUGUUCUAAUUUUUUAUCCAUUAAUUUAGCAAAACUGCAAAUGCUCUCUAAAUCAUUGGACUAACCACUAUAAAAUUGCUAUUACCUAGAGAAACGGAGACAACAAAGGUUCCAAACCUCUUUGAACUUCAUCAUAUAUUAUUACAUGAUUCAAAUAUGUAUUAAAACAGUAUUUUCAAAUUUUUUGAAUUUUUCUCAAAAUUUAUGUGUACCCCCCCCCCUACGAAAAUAGUGAGUUUUCGGUAAAUGCUCUAUAUAUGAAGCCGAUAAUCUUUUAAUUCGUUUUAAAAUUUAUAACCAUAUUAUACAUUUGUAUUAAUUUAUGAUAAACUCCUUUUCAUGGUACAUGGACAUCGUUCUAAUUUUUAAUCAAUUAAUUUAGUAAAACUGUAAAUACUCCCUAAAUCAUUGGACUAACCACUAUAAAAUUGCUAUUCCUUAGAGAAACAGAGACAAAAAGGUUUCCAAACCUCUUUGAACUUCAUCAUAUUUUAUUACAUGAUUCAAAUAUGUAUUAAAAUAGUAUUCUCAAAUUUUUUUGAAUUUUUUUUCAAAAUCUAUGUGUUAACCCCUACGAAAAUAGUGAGUUUUCGGUAAAUGCUCUAUAUAUGAAGCCUAUAAUCUUUAAAUUUGUUUUAAAAUUUAAAACCACAUUAUACCUUUGUAUUAUGUAUGAUAAACUUUUUUCAUGGUACAUGUACUCGUUCUAAUUUUUUAUCCCAUUAAGUUAGCAAAACUGCAAAUACUCCCUAAAAUCAUUAGACUAACCACUAUAAAAUUGCUAUUCCCUAGAGAAACGGAGACAACAAAGGUUCCAAACCUCUUUGAACUUCAUCAUAAUUAUUUAUUAUUUGAUUCAAAUAUGUAUUAAAACAGUAUUUCAAUUUUUUGAUUUUUUUCAAAAUCUAUGGGUUAACCCCUACGAAAAUAGUUAGUUUUCGGUAAAUGCUCUAUAUAUGAAGCCUAUAAUCUCUAAUUUGUUUUAAAAUUUAAAACCACAUUAUAACUUUGUAUUAAUGUAUGAUAAACUUCUUUUCAGGGUACAUGGACAUCGUUCUAUUUUUUAUCCAUUAAUUUAGGAAAACUGCAAAUACUGCCAAAUCAUAAAUCAGUAACCACUAUAAAAUUGCUAUUCCCUAGAGAAACGGAGACAACAAAGGUUCCAAACCUCUUUGAACUUCAUCAUAUAUUAUUACAUGAUUCAAAUAUGGUAUUAAAACAGUAUUUUCAAAAUUUUUUGAAUUUUUCUCAAAAUCUAUGUGUACCCCCCCUACGAAAAUAGUGAGUUUUCGGUAAAUGCUCUAUAUAUGAAGCCUAUAAUCUUUAAAUUUGUUUUAAAAUUUAAAACCACAUUAUACCUUUGGAUUAAUGUAUGAUAAACUUCUUUCAUGGUACAUGGACAUCGUUCUAAUUUUUAAUAAUGUAUGAUAAACUUCUUUUCAUGGUACAUGGACAUCGUUCUAAUUUUUAAUCAAUUAAUUUAGCAAAACUGUAAAUACUCCCUAAAUCAUUGGACUAACCACUAUAAAAUUGCUAUUCCUUUGGGAAACAAAUACAACAAAGGUUCCAAACCUCUUUGAACUUCAUCAUAUUUUAUUACAUGAUUCAAAUAUGUAUUAAAAUAGUAUUCUCAAAUUUUUUGAGUUUUUCUCAAAAUCUAUGUGUUAACCCCUACGAAAAUAAUGAGUUUUCGGUAAAUGCUCUAUAUAUGAAGCCUAUAAUCUUUAAAUUUGUUUUAAAAUUUAAAACCACAUUAUACCUUUGUAUUAAUGUAUGAUAAACUUCAUUUCAUGGUACAUGGACAUCGUUAUAAUUUUUUAUCCAUUAAUUUAGCAAAACUGCCAAUACUCCCUAAAUCAUUGGACUAACCAUUAUAAAAUUGCUAUUCCCUAGAGAAACGAAGACAACAAAGGUUCCAAACCUCUUUGAACUUCAUCAUAUAUUAUUACAUGAUUCAAAUAUGUAUUAAAACAGUAUCCUCAAAUUUUUUAAAUUUUUCUCAAAAUCUAUGUGUACCCCCCUACGAAAAUAGUGUGUUUUCGGUAAAUGCUCUAUAUAUGAAGCCUAUAAUCUUUUAAUUCGUUUUAAAAUUUAUAACCACAUUAUACUCUGUAUUAAUUUAUGAUAAACUCUCUUUUCAUGGUACAUGGACAUCGUUCUAAUUUUUAUCAAUUAAUUUAGCAAAACUGUAAAUACUCGGUAAAUGCUCUAUAUAUGAAGCCUAUAAUCUUUAAAUUUGUUUUAAAAUUUUAAACCACAUUAUACCUUUGUAUUAAUGUAUGAUAAACUUCUUUUCAUGGUACAUGGACAUCGUUCUAAUUUUUUAUCCAUUAAUUUAGCUGCAAAUACUCCCUAAAUCAUUAGACUAACCACUAUAAAAUUGCUAUUCCUAGAGAAACGGAGACAACAAAGGUUCCAAACCUCUUUGAACUUCAUCAUAUAUUAUUACAUGAUUCAAAUAUGUAUUAAAACAGUAUUUUCAAUUUUUUGAAUUUUUCUCAAAAUCUAUUGUUCUAACCCCCUACGAAAUAGUGAGUUUUCGGUAAAUGCUCUAUAUAUGAAGCCUAUAAUCUUUAAAUUUGUUUUAAAAUUUAAAACCACAUUAUACCUUUGUAUUAAUGUAUGAUAAACUUCUUUUCAUGGUACAUGGACAUCGUUCUAAUUUUUAUCCAUUAAUUUAGCAAAACUGCAAAUACUCCCUAAAUCAUUAGACUAACCACUAUAAAAUGCUAUUCCCUAGAGAAACGGAGACAACAAAGGUUCCAAACCUCUUUGAACUUCAUCAUAUUUUAUUACAUGAUUCAAAUAUGUAUUAAACAGUAUUUCAAUUUUUUGAUUUUUUCAAAAUCUAUGUGUACCCCUACGAAAAUAGUGAGUUUUCGGUAAUGCUCUAUAUAUGAAGCCUAUAAUCUUUAAUUUGUUUUAAAAUUUAAACCACAUUAUAACUUUGUAUUAAUGUAUGAUAAACUUCUUUUCAUGGUACAUGGACAUCGUUCUAAUUUUUUAUCCAUUAAUUUAGCAAAACUGCAAAUACUCCCUAAAUCAUUAGACUAACCACUAUAAAAUUGCUAUUCCCUAGAGAAACGGAGACAACAAAGGUUCCAAACCUCUUUGAACUUCAUCAUAUUUUAUUACAUGAUUCAAUAUGUAUUAAAACAGUAUUUUCAAUUUUUUUUUUUUUUCUCAAAAUCUAUGUACCCCCCUACGAAAAGUGAGUUUCGGUAAAUGCUCUAUAUAUGAAGCCUAUAAUCUUUAAUUGUUUUAAAAUUUAAAACCACAUUAUACCUUUGUAUUAAUGUAUGAUAAACUUCUUUUCAUGGUACAUGGACAUCGUUCUAAUUUUUUAUCCAUUAAUUUAGCAAAACUGCAAAUACUCCCUAAAUCAUUGGACUAACCACUAUAAAAUUGCUAUUCCCUAGAGAAACGGAGACAACAAAGGUUCCAAACCUCUUUGAACUUCAUCAUAUAUUUUACAUGAUUCAAAUAUGUAUUAAAACAGUUUUCAAAUUUUUGAAUUUUUCUCAAAAUCUAUGUGUAACCCCCUACGAAAAUAGUGAGUUUUCGGUAAAUGCUCUAUAUAUGAAGCCUAUAAUCUUUAAAUUUGUUUUAAAAUUUAAAACCACAUUAUACCUUUGUAUUAAUGUAUGAUAAACUUCUUUUCAUGGUACAUGGACAUCGUUCUAAUUUUUUAUCCAUUAAUUUAGCAAAACUGCAAAUACUCCCUAAAUCAUUGGACUAACCACUAUAAAAUUGCUAUUCCCUAGAGAAACGGAGACAACAAAGGUUCCAAACCUCUUUGAACUUCAUCAUAUGUUAUUACAUGAUUCAACUAUGUAUUAAAACAGUAUUCUCAAAUUUUUUGAAUUUUCUCAAAAUCUAUGCGUUAACCCCUAUGAAAAUAGUGAGUUUUCAGUAAAUGCUCUAUAUAUGAAGCCUAUAAUCUUUAAAUUUGUUUUAAAAUUUAAAACCACAUUAUACCUUUGUAUUAAUGUAUGAUAAACUUCUUUUCAUGGUACAUGGACAUCGUUCUAAUUUUUUAUCCAUUAAUUUAGCAAAACUGCAAAUACUCCCUAAAUCAUUGGACUAACCACUAUAAAAUUGCUAUUCCCUAGAGAAACGGAGACAACAAAGGUUCCAAACCUCUUUGAACUUCAUCAUAUUUUAUUACAUGAUUCAAAUAUGUAUUAAAACAGUAUUUUCAAUUUUUGAAUUUUUUUUCAAAAUCUAUGUGUUAACCCCUACGAAAAUAGUGAGUUUUCGGUAAAUGCUCUAUAUAUGAAGCCUAUAAUCUUUAAAUUUGUUUUAAAAUUUAAAACCACAUUAUACCUUUGUAUUAAUGUAUGAUAAACUUCUUUUCAUGGUACAUGGACAUCGUUCUAAUUUUUUAUCCAUUAAUUUAGCAAAACUGCAAAUACUCCCUAAAUCAUUAGACUAACCACUAUAAAAUUGCUAUUCCCUAGAGAAACGGAGACAACAAAGGUUCCAAACCUCUUUGAACUUCAUCAUAUUUAUUACAUGAUUCAAAUAUGUAUUAAAACAGUAUUUUCAAAUUUUUUGAAUUUUUCUCAAAAUCUAUGUGUACCCCCUACGAAAAUAGUGAGUUUUCGGUAAAUGCUCUAUAUAUGAAGCCUAUAAUCUUUAAAUUUGUUUUAAAAUUUAAAACCACAUUAUACCUUUGUAUUAAUGUAUGAUAAACUUCUUUUCAUGGUACAUGGACAUCGUUCUAAUUUUUUAUCCAUUAAUUUAGCAAAACUGCAAAUACUCCCUAAAUCAUUAGACUAACCACUAUAAAAUUGCUAUUCCCUAGAGAAACGGAGACAACAAAGGUUCCAAACCUCUUUGAACUUCAUCAUAUGUUAUUACAUGAUUCAAAUACGUAUUAAAACAGUAUUUUCAAAUUUUUUGAAUUUUUCUCAAAAUCUAUGUGUUAACCCCUACGAAAAUAGUGAGUUUUCGGUAAAUGCUCUAUAUAUGAAGCCUAUAAUCUUUAAAUUUGUUUUAAAAUUUAAAACCACAUUAUACCUUUGUAUUAAUGUAUGAUAAACUUCUUUUCAUGGUACAUGGACAUCGUUCUAAUUUUUUAUCCAUUAAUUUACUGCAAAUACUCCCUAAAUCAUUGGACUAACCACUAUAAAAUUGCUAUUCCCUAGAGAAACGGAGACAACAAAGGUUCCAAACUCUUUGAACUUCAUCAUAUUUAUUACAUGAUUCAAAUAUGUAUUAAAACAGUAUUGUCAAAUUUUUGAAAUUUUCUCAAAAUCUAUGUGUACCCCCCUACGAAAAUAGUGAGUUUUCGGUAAAUGCUCUAUAUAUGAAGCCUAUAAUCUUUAAAUUUGUUUUAAAAUUUAAAACCACAUUAUACCUUUGUAUUAAUGUAUGAUAAACUUCUUUUCAUGGUACAUGGACAUCGUUCUAAUUUUUUAUCCAUUAAUUUAGCAAAACUGCAAAUACUCCCUAAAUCAUUGGACUAACCACUAUAAAAUUGCUAUUCCCUAGAGAAACGGAGACAACAAAGGUUCCAAACCUCUUUGAACUUCAUCAUAUUUUAUUACAUGAUUCAAAUAUGUAUUAAAACAGUAUUUUCAAUUUUUUGAUUUUUUUCAAAAUCUAUGUGUUAACCCCUACGAAAAUAGUGAGUUUUCGGUAAAUGCUCUAUAUAUGAAGCCUAUAAUCUUUAAUUUGUUUUAAAAUUUAAAACCACAUUAUAACUUUGUAUUAAUGUAUGAUAAACUUCUUUUCAUGGUACAUGGACAUCGUUCUAAUUUUUUAUCCAUUAAUUUAGCAAAACUGCAAAUACUCCCUAAAUCAUUGGACUAACCACUAUAAAAUUGCUAUUCCCUAGAGAAACGGAGACAACAAAGGUUCCAAACCUCUUUGAAAUUCAUCAUAUGUUAUUACAUGAUUCAAAUAUGUAUUAAAACAGUAUUUUCAAUUUUUUUAAUUUUUUUUCAAAAUCUAUGUGUAACCCCUACGAAAAUAGUGAGUUUUCGGAAAAUGCUCUAUAUAUGAAGCCUAUAAUCUUUAAAUUUGUUUUAAAAUUUAAAACCACAUUAUACCUUUGUAUUAAUGUAUGAUAAACUUCUUUUCAUGGUACAUGGACAUGUUCUAAUUUUUAUCCAUUAAUUUAGCAAAACUGCAAAUACUCCCUAAAUCAUUGGACUAACCACUACAAAAUUGCUAUUCCCUAGAGAAACGGAGACAACAAAGGUUCCAAACGUCUUUGAACUUCAUCAUAUUUUAUUACAUGAUUCAAAUAUGUAUUAAAACAGUAUUUUCAAUUUUUUCAAUUUUUUCUCAAAAUCUAUGUGUUAACCCCUACGAAAAUAGUGAGUUUUCGGUAAAUGCUCUAUAUAUGAAGCCUAUAAUCUUUAAAUUUGUUUUAAAAUUUAAAACCACAUUAUACCUUUGUAUUAAUGUAUGAUAAACUUCUUUUCAUGGUACAUGGACAUCGUUCUAAUUUUUUAUCCAUUAAUUUAGCAAAACUGCAAAUACUCCCUAAAUCAUUAGACUAACCACUAUAAAAUUAAUAUUCCCUAGAGAAACAGAGACAAAAAAGGUUCCAAACCUCUUUUAACUUCAUCAUAUUUUAUUACAUAAUUCAAAUAUGUAUUAAAACAGUAUUUUCAAUUUUCUCAAAAUCUAUGUGUACCCCCUACGAAAAUAGUGAGUUUUCGGUAAAUGCUCUAUAUAUGAAGCCUAUAAUCUUUAAAUUUGUUUUAAAAUUUAAAACCACAUUAUACCUUUGUAUUAAUGUAUGAUAAACUUCUUUUCAUGGUACAUGGACAUCGUUCUAAUUUUUUAUCCAUUAAUUUAGCAAAACUGCAAAUACUCCCUAAAUCAUUGGACUAACCACUAUAAAAUUGCUAUUCCCUAGAGAAACGGAGACAACAAUAGUUCCAAACCACUUGGACUUCAUCGUAUUUAAUUACAUGAUUCAAAUAUGCAUUAAAACAGUAUUUUCAAUUUUUUUGAAUUUUUUCUCAAAUCUAUGUGUUAACCCCCCUACGAAAUAGUGAGUUUUCGGUAAAUGCUCUAUAUAUGAAGCCUAUAAUCUUUAAAUUUGUUUUAAAAUUUAAAACCACAUUAUACCUUUGUAUUAAUGUAUGAUAAACUUCUUUUCAUGGUACAUGGACAUCGUUCUAAUUUUUUAUCCAUUAAUUUAGCAAAACUGCAAAUACUCCCUAAAUCAUUGGACUAACCACUAUAAAAUUGCUAUUCCCUAGAGAAACGGAGACAACAAAGGUUCCAAACCUCUUUGAACUUCAUCAUAUUUUAUUACAUGAUUCAAAUAUGUAUUAAAACAGUAUUUUCAAAUUUUUUGAAUUUUUCUCAAAAUCUAUGUGUUAACCCUACGAAAAUAGUGAGUUUUCGGUAAAUGCUCUAUAUAUGAAGCCUAUAAUCUUUAAAUUUGUUUUAAAAUUUAAAACCACAUUAUACCUUUGUAUUAAUGUAUGAUAAACUUCUUUUCAUGGUACAUGGACAUCGUUCUAAUUUUUUAUCCAUUAAUUUAGCAAAACUGCAAAUACUCCCUAAAUCAUUAGACUAACCACUAUAAAAUUGCUAUUCCCUAGAGAAAACGGAGACAACAAAGGUUCCAAACCUCUUUGAACUUCAUCAUAUUAUUACAUGAUUCAAAUAUGUAUUAAAACAGUAUUUCAAUUUUUUGAAUUUUUCUCAAAAUCUAUGUGUAACCCCCUACGAAAAUAGUGAGUUUUCGGUAAAUGCUCUAUAUAUGAAGCCUAUAAUCUUUAAAUUUGUUUUAAAAUUUAAAACCACAUUAUACCUUUGUAUUAAUGUAUGAUAAACUUCUUUUCAUGGUACAUGGACAUCGUUCUAAUUUUUUAUCCAUUAAUUUAGCAAAACUGCAAAUACUCCCUAAAUCAUUGGACUAACCACUAUAAAAUUGCUAUUCCCUAGAGAAACGGAGACAACAAAGGUUCCAAACCUCUUUGAACUUCAUCAUAUUUAUUACAUGAUUCAAAUAUGUAUUAAAACAGUAUUUUCAAUUUUUUUGAUUUUUUCUCAAAAUCUAUGUGUUAACCCCUACGAAAAUAGUGAGUUUUCGGUAAAUGCUCUAUAUAUGAAGCCUAUAAUCUUUAAAUUUGUUUUAAAAUUUAAAACCACAUUAUACCUUUGUAUUAAUGUAUGAUAAACUUCUUUUCAUGGUACAUGGACAUCAUUCUAAUUUUUUAUCCAUUAAUUUAGCAAAACUGCAAAUACUCCCUAAAUCAUUGGACUAACCACUAUAAAAUUGCUAUUCCCUAGAGAAACGGAGACAACAAAGCUUCCAAACCUCUUUGAACUUCAUCAUAUUUUAUUACAUGAUUCAAAUAUUUAUUAAAACAGUAUUCUCAAAUUUUUUGAUUUUUUCUCAACAUUUAUGUGUACCCCCCUACGAAAAUAAGGAGUUUUCGGUAAAUGCUCUAUAUAUGAAGCCUAUAAUCUUUAAUUUUUAAAAAAAAUUUAAAACCACAUUAUACCUUUGUAUUAAUGUAUGAUAAACUUCUUUUCAUGGUACAUGGACAUUUUUCUAAUUUUUUAUCCAUUAAUUUAGCAAAACUGCAAAUACUCACUAAAUCAUUGGACUAACCACUAUAAAAUUGCUAUUCCCUAGAGAAACGGAGACAACAAAGGUUCCAACCUCUUUGAACUUCAUCAUAUUUUAUUACAUGAUUCAAAUAUGUAUUAAAACAGUAUUUUCAAAUUUUUUGAAUUUUUCUCAAAAUCUAUGUGUUAACCCCUACGAAAAUAGUGAGUUUUCGGUAAAUGCUCUAUAUAUGAAGCCUAUAAUCUUUAAAUUUGUUUUAAAAUUUAAAACCACAUUAUACCUUUGUAUUAAUGUAUGAUAAACUUCUUUUCAUGGUACAUGGACAUCGUUCUAAUUUUUUAUCCAUUAAUUUACUGCAAAUACUCCCUAAAUCAUUGGACUAACCACUAUAAAAUUGCUAUUCCCUAGAGAAACGGAGACAACAAAGGUUCCAAACUCUUUGAACUUCAUCAUAUAUUAUUACAUGAUUCAAUAUGUAUUAAAACAGUAUUUCAAAUUUUUGAAUUUUUCUCAAAAUCUAUGUGUAACCCCCCUACGAAAAUAGUGAGUUUUCGGUAAAUGCUCUAUAUAUGAAGCCUAUAAUCUUUAAAUUUGUUUUAAAAUUUAAAACCACAUUAUAACUUUGUAUUAAUGUAUGAUAAACUUCUUUUCAUGGUACAUGGACAUCGUUCUAAUUUUUUAUCCAUUAAUUUAGCAAAACUGCAAAUACUCCCUAAAUCAUUGGACUAACCACUAUAAAAUUGCUAUUCCCUAGAGAAACAGAGACAACAAAGGUUCCAAACCUCUUUGAACUUCAUCAUAUUUUUUUACAUGAUUCAAAUAUGUAUUAAAACAGUAUUUUCAAUUUUUUUGAAUUUUUUUCAAAAUCUAUGUGUAACCCCUACGAAAUAGUGAGUUUUCGGUAAAUGCUCUAUAUAUGAAGCCUAUAAUCUUUAAAGUUGUUUUAAAAUUUAAAACCACAUUAUAACUUUGUAUUAAUGUAUGAUAAACUUUUUUUCAUGGUACAUGGACAUCGUUCUAAUUUUUUAUCCAUUAAUUUAGCAAAACUGCAAAUACUCCCUAAAUCAUUAGACUAACCACUAUAAAAUUGCUAUUCCCUAGAGAAACGGAGACAACAAAGGUUCCAAACCUCUUUGAACUUCAUCAUAUUUUAUUACUUGAUUCAAAUAUGUAUUAAAACAGUAUUUUCAAAUUUUUCAAUUUUUUCUCAAAAUCUAUGUGUAAAUGCUCUAUAUAUGAAGCCUAUAAAUCUUAAUAAUUUGUUUAAAUUUAAAAAAACACAUUAUAACUUUGUAUUAAUGUAUGAUAAACUUCUUUUCAUGGUACAUGGACAUCGUUCUAAUUUUUUAUCCAUUAAUUUAGCAAAACUGCAAAUACUCCCUAAAUCAUUGGACUAACCACUAUAAAAUUGCUAUUCCCUAGAGAAACGGAGACAACAAAGGUUCCAAACCUCUUUGAACUUCAUCAUAUGUUAUUACAUGAUUCAAAUAUGUAUUAAAACAGUAUUUUCAAUUUUUUUGAAUUUUUCUCAAAAUCUAUGUGUAACCCCCCUACGAAAAUAGUGAGUUUUCGGUAAAUGCUCUAUAUAUGAAGCCUAUAAUCUUUAAAUUUGUUUUAAAAUUUAAAACCACAUUAUACCUUUGUAUUAAUGUAUGAUAAACUUCUUUUCAUGGUACAUGGACAUCGUUCUAAUUUUUUAUCCAUUAAUUUAGCAAAACUGCAAAUACUCCCUAAAUCAUUAGACUAACCACUAUAAAAUUGCUAUUCCCUAGAGAAACGGAGACAACAAAGGUUCCAAACCUCUUUGAACUUCAUCAUAUAUUAUUACAUUAUUCAUAUAUGUAUUAAAAUAGUAUUGUCAAACUUUUUGAAUUUUUCUCAAAAUCUAUGUGUCCCCCUACGAAAAUAGUGAGUUUUCGGUAAUGCUCUCUAUAUAUGAAGCCUAUAAUCUUUAAAUUUCUUGUAAAAUUUAAAACCACAUUAUAACUUUGUCUUAACGUAUGAUAAACUUUUUUUCAUGGUACUUGGACAUCGUUCUAAUUUUUUAUCCAUUAAUUUAGCAAAACUGCAAAUACUCCCUAAAUCAUUGGACUAACCACUAUAAAAUUGCUAUUCCCUAGAGAAACGGAGACAACAAAGGUUCCAAACCUCUUUGAACUUCAUCAUAUGUUAUUACAUGAUUCAAAUAUGUAUUAAAACAGUAUUUUCAUUUUUUUUUAUUUUUUUUCAAAAUCUAUGUGUUAACCCCUACGCAAAUAGUGAGUUUUCGGUAAAUACUCUAUAUAUGAAGCCUAUAAUCUUUAAAUUUGUUGUAAAAUUUAAAACCACAUUAUACCUUUGUCUUAAUGUAUGAUAAACUUCUUUUCAUGGUACAUGGACAUAGUUCUAAUUUUUUAUCCAUUAAUUUAGCAAAAUUGCAAAUACUCCCUAAAUUAUUAGACUAACCACUAUAAAAUUGCUAUUCCCUAGAGAAACGGAGACAACAAAGGUUCCAAACCUCUUUGAACUUCAUCAUAU